CCGGGGGCCUGGGGGGGAGUGGGAAAUUCACAGAGGGAUUGGGAUUGGAAUUGCAGUUGGAAUAAAAAUUAGAAUUGGAAUUGGAAUUAAAGUUGAAAUUUAAAUUAAAAUUGGAUUUUGAAUUGGACUGAAAUUUGAAUUAAAAAUGGAAUUGGAAUUAAACAUUGAAAUCAAAGUUGAAAAUUGAAAUUGAAAUGGAAUUGGAACAAAAUAAGUGAAAUUGAAUUAAAUGGAAACACUGAUGUGAAAUUGGAAUGAAAAGUGAACAUUGAAAUUAAAAUUCAAACCCGAGAAAAGCCCAAAAACCGUCAGAGCAGCAGCAGGACCCAGGGGGUGACCCGGAGGUGACCCCAGGGAGGUUGGACCCUCCUCCCCCGUCGCUGCCCCGUGGGAUCUGGGCAAGGCCCUUCCCCCCCAGCCUCACUCCAAGUGCCUUGAAUCCCCCAGACCUCUGGGGGAGGGCCUCAUCCCACCCCGCUCUGGGACAAUUCCCGAGGUUUUCUCUUCUGUGUUGUGUCCCCCCGCAGCCACCAGAGCUGCGUGGAAUCGGGCCCGGCCAUCUCCAGAUUCCCAGGUUUUCCCUUAAAUCCUUUCCCAAAGACUUCCAAGGGCUGACCGGAUCCUCCCAUCUCCUCCUCCCCCUCCUCUUUCUACUCCUCCUUUUCCUUCCCUCCCUAAAUCCAGCAGUGAGUGGGUCAGAAAUAUGGCCCCGUGCAGGGCUUGGGAAUCUGGGAAUGCUGGGGGUGAUCUGGGGAUGUCGGGGCUGGUUUGGGACACCAGGGAUGAUUUGGGACAGCCACAGUGAUGUUUGGAACCCUGGGAAAGCCUCUGGUGCAGCCACCCAGCCCUGCAACAGCCCCUCUCCUAACAUCCCCCGGCUCCCAUCCGUGAGGAUUUGGAGCCCUCUGACAAUUCCGGACAUGGAUUUUCCGCCUCCUCCGGGUUUAUUCCUCAGUUUUCUCCUCGGGCUGAUUGAAGGGAUCCGGAUCGGUUGGAACUCAAUAAAACUGUUCACCCCCGAUGGGCCGAGGGGGACGGACCCAGC
rnacentral:lncRNA from 1 species